rnacentral:rRNA from 1 species
CAAAACCCCCAAUGUGAACGUUACCAAACUGUUGCCUCGGCGGGGUCACGCCCCGGGUGCGUCGCAGCCCCGGAACCAGGCGCCCGCCGGAGGAACCAACCAAACUCUUUCUGUAGUCCCCUCGCGGACGUAUUUCUUACAGCUCUGAGCAAAAAUUCAAAAUGAAUCAAAACUUUCAACAACGGAUCUCUUGGUUCUGGCAUCGAUGAAGAACGCAGCGAAAUGCGAUAAGUAAUGUGAAUUGCAGAAUUCAGUGAAUCAUCGAAUCUUUGAACGCACAUUGCGCCCGCCAGUAUUCUGGCGGGCAUGCCUGUCCGAGCGUCAUUUCAACCCUCGAACCCCUCCGGGGGAUCGGCGUUGGGGAUCGGGACCCCUCACACGGGUGCCGGCCCCGAAAUACAGUGGCGGUCUCGCCGCAGCCUCUCCUGCGCAGUAGUUUGCACAACUCGCACCGGGAGCGCGGCGCGUCCACGUCCGUAAAACACCCAACUUUCUGAAAUGUUGACCUCGGAUCAGGUAGGAAUACCCGCUGAACUUAAGCUAC